rnacentral:rRNA from 1 species
UACGUAGGAUGCAAGCGUUGUCCGGAUUUACUGGGCGUAAAGCGCGCGCAGGCGGCCCGUUAAGUCAGGUGUGAAAUAUCCCGGCUCAACCGGGAGGGUGCACUUUAGACUGAUGAGCUUGAGGUCGGUAGAGGGGGGUGGAAUUGCUGGUGUAGCGGUGAAAUGCGUAGAGAUCAGCAGGAACACCCGUGGCGAAGGCGGCCCCCUGGGCCGUACCUGACGCUGAGGCGCGAAGGCGUGGGGAGCGAACGGG